rnacentral:rRNA from 1 species
GACGAACGCUGGCGGCAUGCCUAACACAUGCAAGUCGAGCGAGCUGAUUCCUUCGGGAUGAAGCUAGCGGCGGACGGGUGAGUAACACGUGGGCAGCCUGCCUCAUAGAGGGGAAUAGCCUUCCGAAAGGAAGAUUAAUACCGCAUAAGAUUGCAUCUUCGCAUGAAGAAGCAAUUAAAGGAGCAAUCCGCUAUGAGAUGGGCCCGCGGCGCAUUAGCUAGUUGGUGAGGUAACGGCUCACCAAGGCGACGAUGCGUAGCCGACCUGAGAGGGUGAUCGGCCACAUUGGGACUGAGACACGGCCCAGACUCCUACGGGAGGCAGCAGUGGGGAAUAUUGCACAAUGGGGGAAACCCUGAUGCAGCAAUGCCGCGUGAGUGAUGACGGCCUUCGGGUUGUAAAGCUCUGUCUUCGGGGACGAUAAUGACGGUACCCGAGGAGGAAGCCACGGCUAACUACGUGCCAGCCGCCGCGGUAA